rnacentral:lncRNA from 1 species
CAUUGUUCACUAACCCAGUGCCUAGCAUGGUGCCAGGCACAUAGUUACUCUAAGAAAGCACAGUGAUUGCUGGAUUCUUUCUCUCCUUGUACAGCUCUUCAUGUGGAUGUCUGAGCUCCUAUCAGGUGUCUGAAAGAGGCAGAUUCUGAGGAUUUGGGUCAUGAUGGCUGCCAAAGCUUCUACGCCUGACUUAAAGGGCAACAAUCCUAGGAGACCACCAGCACUUACAUCCCUGGUGGGACAUGACACCUGCUUAUGGCCCAGAAGUGACAAAAGAGAAUUAUCAGGAUGGCAGUCCUUAUAACCAGAUGCUUAUAAACAUUCUUCACUACAUUCUGAAGAUGAAUUUCUACAAGGGAAAUUGUUUAUUUAACCUCAGAGACCUGGUAAUCCAUAUGACCCCACAGCUAUGCCUCAUGGCCCAGAGGGUAGGAUUUCAUCUCCACCAUCCUCUUCCUCAAUGUGAAGGGCUGUUGAGUGAGUACCCUUAGGGAACAAUACUGGGGAAGUAUAAAAUUAUCAUCUUCCAAAUAAGAAGCUGCU